rnacentral:rRNA from 1 species
GGCUGGGCUGGGUUGGCUAGCCAUGCGAGUCGAAUGUAGCAAUACAUGGCGUACUGCUCAGUAACACGUGGACAACCUACCCUCAGGCCGGGGAUAAACCCGGGAAACUGGGUAUAAUACCCGAUAGAUCUCGGCUGCUGGAAUGCAUCGAGCUCUAAAGCUCCGGCGCCUGAGGAUGGGUCUGCGGCCUAUCAGGUAGUAGUGGGUGUAGCGUACCUACUAGCCUACGACGGGUACGGGUUGUGAGAGCAAGAGCCCGGAGAUGGAUUCUGAGACACGAAUCCAGGCCCUACGGGGUGCAGCAGGCGCGAAAACUUUACAAUGCCGGCAACGGCGAUAAGGGGACCUCGAGUGCCAGGUUACAAAUCUGGCUGUCGUGAUGCCUAAAAAGCAUUGCAUAGCAAGGGCCGGGCAAGACCGGUGCCAGCCGCCGCGGUAACACCGGCGGCUCGAGUGGUAACCGUUAUUAUUGGGUCUAAAGGGUCUGUAGCCGGCCGGAUAAGUCUCUUGGGAAAUCCAGCAGCUCAACUGUUGGGCUUUCAGGAGAUACUGUCUGGCUCGAGGCCGGGAGAGGUGAGAGGUACUUCAGGGGUAGGGGUGAAAUCUUGUAAUCCUUGAAGGACCACCAGUGGCGAAGGCGUCUCACCAGAACGGACCUGACGGCAAGGGACGAAAGCUAGGGGCACGAACCGGAUUAGAUACCCGGGUAGUCCUAGCCGUAAACGAUACUCGCUAGGUGUCGGCCACGGUGCGACCGUUGUCGGUGCCGUAGGGAAGCCGUGAAGCGAGCCACCUGGGAAGUACGGCCGCAAGGCUGAAACUUAAAGGAAUUGGCGGGGGAGCACCACAACGGGUGGAGCUUGCGGUUUAAUUGGAUUCAACGCCGG